rnacentral:lncRNA from 10 species
CAGCAGCAGGCGUGCGGGGACCCUGCCAUGAGUAAUGACAUGCGUCUGUCUUGCCCGGCUGAGUCAACUUUCUCAUUUAGCAUGACUGACCCUGCCACUAAGGAAUUUAAUUCGCUCACUUGCCAACCGGAAAUAGUUCAUCCCUGAGGUUUAGAAAAUGACAUAACCUGACAGCAGAGCUGUCUUCCUUGUCUGGGAGCCAGAGGAGGCAGUGGUCUUAAACACCAGCGAGGAGGGAUACAGUGGGGACCCUUGGGUUGUCCUCUCUCUGCACUCUGCUCUUGCACCUGGCUCUGACUGUGCCCUUCUCUGGCCCCACUUGUGGGCUGAGAUAUCAUGAGAUUCCAACAUCCUUUCCCACCCAGGCUCCUGCGCUGACAUUCCAUCUCUAACUUUUUGGUCAAUAUGAUUCUCUUUACUACAAGAACAAGUCAUUUAUUCAUUUGCUUAAACAGGAAAGUGAGAAUUUGGGAAUUUAGCUUCAAUAGAUUUUGCUGCUUUGCUGUUCAAUGUGAUUGUACCCAUUUUUACUUUCGCCAGCUGGUUGUGAAUGUACGAGGUCCAUAUUCCCCAUGUCAUCAAACAUGAACAGUUUGCCAGAUUCUAAUUCAAGUCCCACUACUUUCAUGAAGCCCUCCUCACCUGCUUUAGCCUGUGAGACUCCUGGAAUCCUUCUAACAGCUCUCAUCCCUGAAUGCCCGGAUGACCUUUUCUGAUUAUAAAAAUAUUGCAGGAUGAGUAAGGAAAAUUUGAAAGAGAAGGAAAUAUAUCACCUCAAUUCUUCUUUGCAGAGAACAUUAUACUUGGCAUCUUGUGAAUUUUUUAUAUGGACUUAAAAAAG